rnacentral:rRNA from 1 species
UAAGCAUAUAAUUAAGCGGAGGAAAAGAAACUAACUAGGAUUCCCUCAGUAACGGCGAGUGAAGCGGGACUAGCUCAGGAUGUGAAUCUGCGCUUUUAUGGCGCCGAAUUGUGGUCUAUAGACCUUGACGUUAUUUGCCGGGCCAAGUUCCUUGGAAAAGGACAGCUGAGAGGGUGAGACUCCCGUCCGCCUGGCAGAGUGAGUCAUGUGUCAACGAGUCGAGUUGUUUGGGAUUGCAGCUCUAAUUUGGUGGUAAAUUCCAUCUAAAGCUAAAUAUUGGUGGGAGACCGAUAGCGUACAAGUACCGUGAGGGAAAGAUGCAAAGAACUUUGAAAAGAGAGUUAAAGAGUACCUGAAAUUGCUGAAACGGAAGCGAAGGAAACCAGUGUUUGUUGGUUCAUAUUUCCCUGGCCACUUGUGGUUUGGGCGCUGUGAGCYUGCGUGAGUUUGGGUUGGUUGAUCCCUUUGGAAGAGCGCAGACAGAGUUGAUGUCUGUUGCUAGCACUGGGAUUGACUGAUGCAGACGAAAUGGUUUUCUUUACCCCGUCUUGAAACACGGGACCAAGG